rnacentral:sRNA from 1 species
AGGUCAUCCGGGGAACAUAGGGGGCGUUUUGCGGUGUGCCAGAAAGGUCAUUGAAUUUGUUUAUUUAUUUAGUUAUUUACUUUUCAAUCAGUUUCUCCUUUGUAUUCCGUAUUUCCAUUCUGUCCAGCUAGCAAAAUCAGGGACUUAUCAAGUUCCUGUUUUAUUUUGUUUUAUUUCUUGUUGCACUGCAUUGUCCUCUACAGGAUAAAGUUGGCAUGUCACUUCCCCUGCGCACUAUUUCUUCCUGCCAAUUCUUUAUAUGCCUGUUGCACUGCCUAUACCUAUGUAGGUAUUUGUGCUGUUAAUGUUAAUAGGAUUACCAUGAUUGAUAGACAG